ACUUCAGCAUAUGAACUGGGGAGGAACAAAAAUAGUAUAUAAUAUAUUUCUAGGAAAUCUUUCCCAAUGAGUCCAGAUUCAUCUAGUAAUAACACAAACUAUGCAAUGAUAAAGUACUGAUCUGAAGUGAAGAAAAAAGAUCCUCUUUUCAGAGUUCAAGCUCAAUCAAUACUAAAGAGCCUAGCAAAUGACCCCCACCCCUUGGAGAACAGUGACAUGAUACUUGAAGCUGCUAGGAGAUGAGCAGCUUUCCUCUACCAGCCCCAUCCACCAUGCAUUUCUUCCUUGGAGCCACUGAUUUCAGACUGAAGCUGCUGGAAACUGCAAACAAUGUAUGCUGACGAAUAAGCAAAACAAGUUUUAGGUGGACAGUCCACGGAGGAACUCAUUGCUCAUUCCUGCACAGUGAACCAUGAAAAACAAGUACGGCCUACGCAGAGACAAGAAGAUGGAUUACAGAGCUAUCAUUUUCUACAGAAAGAAAGCACACCAGUUCAUCAACGGAGACAAACUUCCCUCUCUUGGAGUUUGAAGAUUAAUUUGUCAGAAUGAUCUUUAUGUAAGGACAAUGACAUCCACAGUGUCCCCUAUAGCAAUUUUAC
ensembl:lncRNA